AGGCGCGGCUGGAGGAGAGGCUACUUGCUGCAAGUGGUGCACGCUGCAGAGCAAAUGGGUUUUUAUUUUUUGAAGUGGAGCUCCUAAGUCUACAUUUAAAAGGAAUAAACGAGAUGAGACAAGCUAAUAGGAAACAAGCCAUCUUCAGCCUCCAUGCAGGCCCUUCCAGUGACAACUGGAAGCAACACAUCUCCAGCCUCCAUUCCAGACCUUCCAGUGACAUCUGAGAGCAGCCCCCCCUUCAGAAAAAAUAAAAAACCCUCAAACAGCAGUUGAGAACAGUUCUGCUGUUGUUACCUAUCAAAUCGCUGAACAAAUUUUUUGAAAUCCAAGAGGUUGAUAUUGGUGAAGGUGUUGCAAUACACAUUGAAAAAUGGAAGAAGAUUCAGGCUAAUUUAAAGGACAGCUUGUUUGUAAAAGAACUGGCAGUGUGCAUUUGGGGAACAAGCACACUGGCCAACCGUAGCCUGGAAGGAAAAAGUUGCCCCACCACAAAAACAGAUCCUAGGCCCCCUCUGACACCUCACAAAUAUAGAGCAAUUAAAGGUUGCUUUCAAAAGUGGCUAGAAGGCAAAGAUUUGGAGGAAGCAGAGCUGAAAGCCAGAGCGGGAAAACUUGGGCGAUAUUUAACAGAACAAAUUCAAGAUAUCAACAAAAAAUAAAUCAAAAAAGUGAAUUUGCAUAUAUGUAAGCUGCUGAAAACUGAUAAGUAUUUGUAUUUCAGUUAGGUUAUUACUGCCAAUUAUUAAGUAAUUUAUCUCAUAUUAAGGUUACACACACAAAAAAAGUGUUUUUAAUGAUAUAUUAUAAAUAAACUGAAUUCUCCUGAA